rnacentral:rRNA from 1 species
AUUGGACGCUGGCGGCAGGCCUAACACAUGCCAGUCGAGCGGAUGAAGGGAGCUUGCUCCUGGAUUCAGCGGCGGACGGGUGAGUAAUGCCUAGGAAUCUGCCUGGUAGUGGGGGAUAACGUCCGGAAACGGGCGCUAAUACCGCAUACGUCCUGAGGGAGAAAGUGGGGGAUCUUCGGACCUCACGCUAUCAGAUGAGCCUAGGUCGGAUUAGCUAGUUGGUGGGGUAAAGGCCUACCAAGGCGACGAUCCGUAACUGGUCUGAGAGGAUGAUCAGUCACACUGGAACUGAGACACGGUCCAGACUCCUACGGGAGGCAGCAGUGGGGAAUAUUGGACAAUGGGCGAAAGCCUGAUCCAGCCAUGCCGCGUGUGUGAAGAAGGUCUUCGGAUUGUAAAGCACUUUAAGUUGGGAGGAAGGGCAGUAAGUUAAUACCUUGCUGUUUUGACGUUACCAACAGAAUAAGCACCGGCUAACUUCGUG